rnacentral:rRNA from 1 species
UGGGGAAUAUUGGACAAUGGGGGCAACCCUGAUCCAGCGAUGCCGCGUGGGUGAAGAAGGCCUUCGGGUUGUAAAGCCCUUUAGGUUGGGAAGAAGGUUGGUAGUUUAAGAGAUAACCAAUUUGACGGUACCGACAGAAUAAGCACCGGCAAACUCUGUGCCAGCAGCCGCGGUAAUACAGAGGGUGCGAGCGUUAAUCGGAGUUACUGGGCGUAAAGGGCGCGUAGGCGGUUAUAUGAGUGUGAUGUGAAAGCCCUGGGCUUAACCUAGGAAGUGCAUCGCAAACGAUAUGACUGGAGUAUAUGAGAGGGUGGUGGAAUUUCCGGUGUAGCGGUGAAAUGCGUAGAUAUCGGAAGGAACGUCAAUGGCGAAGGCAGCCACCUGGCAUAAUACUGACGCUGAGGCGCGAAAGCGUGGGGAUCAAACAGG